CUGAGGCCGUCUGUGAUAUUUCUUAGGAAAACAGACUUUUCCAGCCUCCAUCCAGGUGCUACUCACUGUUUUGGGAUUCAGCUCAGCAGAGGCAGCAAGCCAGCGAUGCAGGGGUUAAGGCGAUUCCCUAGAAACCAGGAGACGACUCCGUUCCCCUUGUCCCCUUCUCUCUGGUUUCUGAAGUGCCUCUCUCAUUUCUAGGAAGGCUGGAAAUUACAAGGAAGGUACAUUCCUGUCUUCUUGGACACUGGAAGAAAAAUGUGACCGAAAUUAGGAAGUGGAUCCUGAAGGAGAGAAUAAUGCAGUGUACUAACCUUUUCUGUCAGAUUAAAAAAAAACUGGGAGAGGAGACCAUCCUCCCUAAGAAAAGGAGGGCAGUUUAAACCCCCACCUCCUGCAAAGUGCUUUAUGAUUUAGCUGGUGUCACAGGAAAAGCUUUUGACUCUCAAAUGCAUCCAGCUUUUUUUUUAAGUUUGCCAACUGAAUGGAAAACUAGCAAAAUAUUCUCCUUCUGCUGUCCCCAACACGGUGGUCUUGAGUUAUGAAUUCUCAGCCUUAUGGCUAUGUAGUCCCUUAAAGCCUCUGGAGGAUGUUAGGUUGAGGGGAGAGAAUUUUACAUCGCAUUUAAGUAAAUAAAACAACAGCCACGGGAAUGAGAAGAGGCCCAACCACAGUGAAGCUGUUGAUUGGUUUAAAACGAUAGAUUUGGAGGAAACUACCAAGAAAAGAUCUUCCGUAAAGCCAUUCUCAAUUCUUUGGCAUUCAAAAUUGAAAAAGCAGAGAGUGUUCAGUUUCUGUAAUUAAAAUACGAAGUGGCUUGAACACAUUAUCUGGAUAAUAUUAGUUCUGCUUCUCAUCCAAGAAACAUCGUCC